rnacentral:lncRNA from 1 species
CUUGGCUCUCCAAUUUUUUUCUGCUGUGGGUUAUAUUCUUCUUAGAAACACGUGGUUCCCAGGAAUGACUGCUGUGUUGCUGAUCAGUGGCUGAAAUGCCACUGAUUUGGGGUGUUGGUCCAUGGUUCGUUAUUGCUCUCUCCAGCUUGUAUUUAUCCAGAUGAUGUUUCUCAAAAUAAGAGACAUCAGAAAACUCCAGUAAUUGAGGAAGCAAGAAUAUCUAACCCUAGAGUACAACUUUUUAUGAACACUGUGUACUUCAUGACACACAGGGGAUGUUUUAAAAACAGACAUUGGUGUUCGGAAACAGCAAUCAGAAGCCAACUUGGGAGAUGCCUCCAGGAAAGUAUUUUGAAAAUAGGUGGGAAAUUUUUCCAAAGAAGGGCAGAAAAAAAGGCAUGCUGCUUAGUGCCAGUACCGGCAUGAAGUCAAGUUCUUCUUUCCAAGAGCUUAUCUUCUGCAGGAGAGAGAAACAGCAAAAAAAUAAAUGAAUGAAUGAGUGAGUGAGCAGAAGAAUGAUUACAGAUGGUAGAAAAUGCUAUGGAGAAGAUCAAUAACAAGCAGGAUAUUAGUACAUGCGCAGGAGAGAAACAGAUUACUUUUACAUUGAAAAAUGAUAUGGGCUGAGUGGUCUAGAUCAGGAAAAGAAGGACAUUUGAGA